AUACCAUGUUAAAAAAAUAUUUUCUUCCUUGGCAUGUUCACAUAAGUGUUGGCUGUUUUAUAUUAAUAGGACUAUGUGUUAUUUUUUUCGUUAAAUAUUGAAACAACUAGGGGACUUUUGUCCCGAAUAUGCAGUUUGUCAGAGGUCAUUCAGUGUAACGGGAUCAGGAAACCAUUUUGAAAUUAAAUAAACAAACAAUAGUCAUCAAGCAGUCUGUGACAUCAUCAAAAGGCCCCCUGAAGACCAUGUGGUGAUUCAGCAAGAUGCCCACAAACAAAGAGAAAGUUUCUAGGCACUGGCAGAAAGUUAAUGCAGACCCAGUAGCUAGGGCAAUGCAUUUAGCAAGGAGACGAGAAAGCAACCAGAGAAGAAAGCAAGCUGCCUUGGCUGCAAAUCCUGAUCACCUGUCAAUCAGGAAUUUAUCAGAUGCUGCAGCUGAGAAGAGGCGAAAGCAAUGGCGGGAAAAUCAAAGAAAACACAGGGCAGAAGCUAAACGUAUAAGGGCAGAUCUGGAUCUUAUUAUACAGUAUUACCACCUGUUCAGUUAAUUUUUACGAAUAUGAUAUGCAUUAUGGAAUAAAAAUGAUUAUUAAUUUCAGCAUCUACUUCUGUGAUUUGUUAAGGAAUAAAAUAAUACAGAAUAAUAUUCAAAACAUUGCAGUAAUGGAAACAAUGACACUAUUUUUGUCAAAAAUGUCAUUCAGUGUAACAAACCAUGGUCAUUCGGUGUAACAGAUAUAUUUAUGUAGAAAUGAAACAAUAUACUUAUUCUGAGCUGUACUUAUUAAAAUAUGUAUAAUAAUGUGUGAUCCUUCAAAAAUUUUAUUUGAUUUGAAUUGAUUUUCACUUCCUUACAAAAACUUCUUGCUGACAAAUGGGUAAAACCUAAUGGUUUAAAGGAUAUUGGCGAAGUAAAAUGCUUUAAAAUGACAAAUAGUUAGUAUUUGGUGUCUGCACUGUGAUCUAUAAAUAGAGUCUUGUAAUGUGUCAUCAAAUAAUAGUUUUUCUAAAAAUGUCUGAUAAUAUUUUUUUGCAUAAAAAUAUUGUUACACUGAAUGACAUUUUAGUUGGUGUCUUCUGUACAAUUUCAGUAAAAAUGUAUGGUAGUUAUUAUUUUUUGCUCAGAAAAACAUAUAGUUAAACAGGACAUAUACUAAUGUAUGUGAAAAAGACUAAAUUUAAAGCUCUUUUACACUUUUAUUUUUUUAUGUUUUAAACCCCCUUUUCGUCUUUGACCCAAAUACAAAUAAAAAUCACAAAUAAUUAUAGCUAGAGAUGCUCCGAUCGAUCGGCCGAUAAUGCUUGCUAUGCUUCUCAACAAAUUACAUUGAAAUGCACCCAGUUCCAAAAGCCAGGGGGUGCUCUCAUUGCAGAAACUUAAAAUGCACUGUAGAUGAAGAACAAUACAUACGCAGGUAUGACGAUAUGCAGCUCCAGGAAAUGGCCUUAAGGAUAAUAUUGCUGUUCUUCAAACCUUUCCAGGUAUUUUCAUGAUAAUAAAGAAUAUGUUUAACAAUUAUGUUUGACGAGUGUUGCUUUUUCAAAUGCAUGUUAUAAACGAUUCAAACUAACAGCGAUUUCAGAUCGAUAAGGACUUACUGAUCAAAAGCCGUAGUACAUGAAAUGGCUUUGAAUAAGAUCGGCUGUCCGAUUUAGAAUAGUGAUCGGCCACGUAUUUUUAGUGUAUAUCGGCAUUGAUCGGAGCACCCCUAAUAAUAGUACAAUUGGCUGCCUUAUCUUAGAGAGCACAUCAAUAUUUUUAAUUUGAAUACUUCUUUUUAUUUAUUGUUUGGAGCUGAAGUGUCCUAGAGAUUCGGCAAUAAGUAAAUUAUUAAACAAACUGUGGGAGGAGGCAAACACAUCCCAGUUAUUUUGUGCCACAUUCUGGCUAAAGCAGUGCCAGAUGAUCAGCACACUCUAAUUUUGCUUAUCCUUUAAGCUGUUCAAUCUGCUUAAGCCCCUCCCCUUCCCUUGUGGCCGUAUGGCUAAUAAAAAGUACAGAGCUACUGAAUUACAAUCACAGCCUCACAUCCACUGACACGGCUGACCUGCAAUUCCUUCCUCUCAGUCAAAGCCUUAGAUUAUACACCCUGGAACUGCAUUUUAAAGAGGACCAUCACAACUCAUAUGUUUCAGUACGUAAUUCAUAUGUUUCAGUACGUAAUUCACAAAAAACACAUUUUGUGUUUAUUUAUUUAUGGCUCACACCACAGGAUUAUCGGACAGAUUUUCCCCUCCUGAGAAUUCAAAAGAAAUCGGGUCAUGGACCUCGAUUGGCUCCGAAGUUCGGCCCAGA